GAGGGGAUAGCUCAGGGGUGGUGUGUGUGCUUAAAAUGCACGAGGUCCUGCGUUCGAUCCCCAGUUCCUCCA
rnacentral:tRNA from 1 species